rnacentral:rRNA from 1 species
UACGUAGGGGGCUAGCGUUGUCCGGAAUCAUUGGGCGUAAAGCGCGUGUAGGCGGUUCGGUAAGUCCGCUGUGAAAGUCGGGGGGCUCAACCCUCGGAAGCCGGUGGAUACUGUCGAGCUAGAGUACGGAAGAGGCGAGUGGAAUUCCCGGUGUAGCGGUGAAAUGCGCAGAUAUCGGGAGGAAUACCGAUGGCGAAGGCAGGUCUCUGGGCUGACACUGACGCUCAUGCACGAAAGCGUGGGGAGCGAACAGG